AUUUAAAACUGACUCCAGUUUCUCCUAUAAUGCUGUAUUCCUUUUAUCAGGAAUUCCAGGUUCCUUUCUCCUGUUUCCUGGGAUUUGCAAAACAGCAAAAUCAGCCAGUUUACAUUUAAGAUGUUUUGAUUCUUUUCUCAGACUUUUGCCAGUGUACUUAACGCAGAAUGAUUAAAAGCUGUGUGUUCUGUUAGAACUGUUAUAGUGUUUAAACAAGGAAGUCUGUGUUUGUUUAAGAGAAUGGGGAAAUGGUUAUCUUGACAGAUUAGACUGAAAAAACAGGACAGCCACAGUCUAGCACAGAUGUCCACAUUUGCCACUUGGCUGGCUUUUUGAGGUAUUCUAAACAAAAGUGGCUUGUGUGCUGGUGCUGGAGCUCUGCUUGGCACCUGACUGAGGAAUGUGAGUCAGAGUCACUGCCAGGCCCUGGGUGUCUUUGUGGGCACGUGUUCCCAGGUUUGAAAUUUUUCAGAGUCUGUUUAACUGUGUCAUAAUUAAUGGAACACAGGAGGGAUUUCUCUUGCUGGCUUCCACACCCCGUUCCAGGGUGAUUUCAUCUCACAUCACACGUGGUUCCUGUGGCUUCACUGAGCAGAAGCCCCGGGGAUGACCAUCUUCAUCCAUCUUUUACAAGCUUGAUCUUUAACUGGAGGAAACAUGAGGGGCAGCUGUGGUUAAGUGGCAAACGCAUGGGAAGAAAAUUCAGGACCCCUGAGUCCAGCCAGAGCUCUCCCACUUGCUAGCUGCUUGGUCUUGGUCGGGUCCUCAUUUUCCCUCCUAGGGUCGUGCAGCUGUGGUGGAUGAGACGGAUGAGGGCAGCCCAUGCUUAGCGAGCCUGCCCUGUGUGCUUGGCCCUGCUGCAGGCUCUGCACGUGGUGCCUCGUGCUCUCCUCCAAAGAGCUUGCUGAGUCACAGAAUCCUUUCUUCAAACAAAAUUUCAGAAGAAGCCCACUAUAUAGAACCAAAUGGAAAGGAUCCGAAGAAACCAUCAGGACUGAGUUUGAAAAAACACUGGUCUAUUCCACGGCUGUGUUGGCUCAAAGAGGUCUUCAGCUGUUUUCCAGUUUGACCCAAGGCUGGUUCCAUAUGGAACAUUUAUUUUGAGGAAACAGACCAACCAUAUGAUUUCACUGGGAAACCAGAGCCCCCAUACUGCGUUUCAAGAUCUGCAGACUACUGCUGAGAAAACAUGCGUUAUGAAAGAAAACAGGGUUUGGCUCCGUUGUUUACACAAACGAUGCUUAGAAAAAUCCAUGUUAGAGGAAUGCCCAUGUCAUGGGCCAUGUACAAAUUUUCCCUUCUGUGUGUUUCCAUAGUCUUGCUUUUUAUUCCAGUAAAAAGGCUAUGGCAUAUGAAAAUGCUUAAGU
ensembl:lncRNA